UCGAGAAUUUUUCACAAUGGGCGCAAGCCUGAUGGAGCGACGCCGCGUGGGGGAUGAAUGGCUUCGGCCCGUAAACCCCUGUCAUUUGCGAUCAAACCUCAAUAUUUAAAAGAUGUUGGGCUGAUAGUAGCGGAAGAGGAAGGGACGGCUAACUCUGUGCCAGCAGCCGCGGUAAUACAGAGGUCCCGAGCGUUGUUCGGAUUCACUGGGCGUAAAGGGUGCGUAGGUGGUGAGGUAAGUCGGAUGUGAAAGCUCGGAGCUCAACUCCGAAAUGGCAUUGGAAACUACCUUGCUGGAGGGUUGGAGGGGGGACUGGAAUACUUGGUGUAGCAGUGAAAUGCGUAGAUAUCAAGUGGAACACCAGUGGCGAAGGCGAGUCCCUGGACAACACCUGACACUGAGGCACGAAAGCUAGGGGAGCAAACAGGAUUAGAUACCCUGGUAGUCCUAGCCGUAAACGGUGCGUGUUUGCUGUAAAAGGAUCGACCCUUUGUGGC
rnacentral:rRNA from 1 species